GAAGAGUUUGAUCAUGGCUCAGAUUGAACGCUGGCGGCAGGCCUAACACAUGCAAGUCGAACGGUAACAGGAAGCAGCUUGCUGCUUUGCUGACGAGUGGCGGACGGGUGAGUAAUGUCUGGGAAACUGCCUGAUGGAGGGGGAUAACUACUGGAAACGGUGGCUAAUACCGCAUAACGUCGCAAGACCAAAGAGGGGGACCUUCGGGCCUCUUGCCAUCAGAUGUGCCCAGAUGGGAUUAGCUUGUUGGUGAGGUAACGGCUCACCAAGGCGACGAUCCCUAGCUGGUCUGAGAGGAUGACCAGCCACACUGGAACUGAGACACGGUCCAGACUCCUACGGGAGGCAGCAGUGGGGAAUAUUGCACAAUGGGCGCAAGCCUGAUGCAGCCAUGCCGCGUGUAUGAAGAAGGCCUUCGGGUUGUAAAGUACUUUCAGCGGGGAGG
rnacentral:rRNA from 4 species